AUGACAAAUGUCUAGGCGCGUAAUUCUAGCAUUAUACGUGUUGAGUUGUUCAAAAGAUUCGUAGCUGUUAUCAUUUUCUAUUAAAUAAUGAAACAUUCAAAUAAAUACUGUUUUUAGUUGGAUAUUAAAAAGAAUUAGGUUGGCAAAAUUGAACGAUAUUGCAGAAGAAUAAGACAAGUUUUUAAUAGUGCAUCGAGAUGGCAACUGACGGCAGAAGACGCGUCGCAUUAAUUACUGGUAUUACCGGACAAGAUGGUUCCUAUUUAGCUGAAUUCUUAUUGGAAAAAGGAUACGAUGUACAUGGUAUAAUUAGGAGAGCUAGUUCUUUUAAUACUGCCCGAAUUCAACAUCUUUAUGCAGAUCCAAAAUGCCACCGCCAAGGCAGAAUGAAGCUUCAUUAUGGUGAUAUGACAGAUUCCAGUAGUUUAGUUAAAGUGAUUAGUUCUGUGCAACCAACAGAGAUUUAUAAUCUUGCUGCUCAAAGUCAUGUCAUGGUAAGUUUUGAAGUAAGUGAAUAUACUGCUGAAGUAGAUGCAGUAGGAACAGUUAGAUUAUUAGAUGCAAUACGUACUUGUGGCCUUGAAAAAUCUGUAAAAUUUUACCAUGCGUCAACAUCUGAACUUUAUGGCAGAGUAACUCAAGUACCACAAAAUGAAAAAACUCCAUUUUACCCUCGUUCACCGUAUGCUUGCGCAAAAUUAUAUAGCUUCUGGAUUGUGGUAAACUAUAGAGAAGCAUAUAAUAUGUUUGCAUGUAAUGGUAUAUUAUUUAAUCAUGAAAGUCCUCGUAGAGGAGAGAACUUUGUUACAAGAAAAGUAACUAGAUCUAUAGCGAAGAUACAGUUAGGUUUACAAGAUGUUCUUGAACUAGGAAAUUUAGAUGCUAAACGAGAUUGGGGACAUGCAAAAGAUUAUGUUGAAGCAAUGUGGUUGAUGUUGCAACAGCCAAUUCCGGAUGAUUAUGUUAUAGCAACAGGAGAAACGCAUAGUGUUAGAGAAUUUGUGGAGGCAGCAUUUCUAUAUGUAGGUCGUACUAUUAAGUGGGAAGGUGAAGGUAUAAACGAAAUAGGACAGGAUGCACAAACAGGACAAGUAUUGGUUAAAGUAAAUCCUAAAUAUUUCCGUCCGACGGAAGUCGAUGUACUUUUGGGUGAUGCUAAUAAAGCGAAGGAAAAAAUUGGCUGGAAACCUACUGUUACGUUUGAGAUUGGAAACACUGAACCGCCUCGAACUGGUCCGAGUUCGUAUACGUCGAUGACUGACUACGAUUUGCGGCUGGUUAGACCAAUUCUCUAACGAAGGGUGUUUAAUUUGACUCGGAGAUUCAGAGGAUGGACCAGCUCCGCCCAUCGUGGCUUCCUGGAGAGGCCAAGCUACAGCUACGGCCGUAACCGAAGAUGAAGAGAUUGAGGGAAGAAACGUCGUUAUUUGUUUGUUCGCCGUUUCUGGUGCCGUCCUUCGAGCUUCGUUCCAUCUUGAAAUAUUAAGAAACAAAUCACCGUGGAUCUGACGGCGGAAGGAACCGGCGGAUUAGCGUAUUCAAAGCUCCAAAGUACCUUGGUCUCGUAUCCCGGGCAUCCUCGGAUCGGGCAACCGCAGAAGCCUUUCCUCUUUAUCGGCGAUACUGCCCCGCAAGCGCAGGCGGUCUUGUUUGCGGAUCGUUUCGUUUUACUGCCCAGUAUCCGCUCGAAUCUAAACAAUCGUUCCUUAUUGACAAAAUCGGCGGGCGUCUGCGGCUUAGCCAGUUUCGGAUUGUUGCUUCUGCGACGUUUUACGAGUGUGGGAAAAUUCACAGCGCGAGCCAGAACCACGUCGUUCCGGUAAACCAUUUCGCCUCAGGGCCCCGGCUAAAUCGCAAAAAAUAAACGAACAGUCCCUCGUGGUGGUGAAUUUUCUUGGAAAUAACGAGCAUCGCUAUCUUGCUGCGGUUAUAUCAGACCUUGAAAACGGACAACGCGAUCGAAGAAUCUGGUAAUCGAAUUUUCUUUUUGGCCAUUAGUAGUUAAGUGGUUUGUUUGUAAUUAA